AUGAUUCAUAGUAACUUAAAUCCAUUAUUAAAACACGAUCAGCCAUAUGAGAUAACGUAUGAAGUUACAACGCAAAUCCAUCAUGAAAACACAAGCAGCAACAAAAGCUUCAACACUGGAAGGAACACAAACUUCAACAACAGCAUGUAUAUGAAAACACAAGCAGCAAUAUGGGAAAACGUCCCCAUUAAAGAUCAACAAUCUGAGAAAAUGUAUCAAAAUGCAACGCAAAUCCAUCAAGAAAACACAUUCAGCAGUUUGAGGAAACAUAUCAAUACACAACGGAAAUCCAUUAAGAAAACACGAUCAGCAAACCCUAACAUCAAGCCAUGA